rnacentral:lncRNA from 1 species
CCAGUCUCCUGCUACGACAACUUCCUUUGGGACAAUGAAGUCUUGCGCUCUUCUUGUGCUCUUGGUGCUCUUUGUUGCUGUUGUCAUAGAAGACACAGCCGGACAAGGUAUAGCGCGUGCUACAUGCACCUGCUGUGGUCAUAUUUGUCAUACCGACAGUGGGAUUUGCAGGUGCGGCGGAGUUGCACCCAACUGCUACUGUAUUGCAAUUGAUCAUACAACAAGAAAACCCCCAGGUCGAGGGUAGGCAUGACCAGUUGAAUAUAAAGAAGAAAACAGGAAACUAAUCAUUCAGCUAAAUGUAAAGCUGCUGUAUUUGGACAUUUUUUUUGUGAAUUUUGAGUUCAACAAUAAGUGGUCAUAAUAAAGAUUGUAGUAAAUA